GAAGGGAAAAACUGUAAAAGAAGAAAAAGGAAAUUAUGCAUUGCAACUAUAUCCUGAAUCAAACAACUAAAAAGCACAGCUUGUAAGUGUUGAAGAAAUAAAAAGGGAGGAUAAAAAAAAGAGGAUAAAGCCAGACUCUUUGCAGUGGUGCCCAAGGAUUGGAAAAAGAGACAAUGGACCCAAACUGGAAGGAGAGUAAUGGUGCUCGCUUGCAGCAAAGGGGCAGCUGGAGGCUGGGCCUAGAAGCACCCUGAGCAGAUCUGCUCUUCCUGCUAUCUAAAAGUGCAUGGCCUAGGCCUUCAGAUGCCAUGGACGAAAGGAUCACGUUGUGUUCCAGAAAUGAUUAAUACUUAGAUGUGCCUUUUAUUUGGAAGCAAUGACAUAGAUGUUUUGGAAGAGGGGGCUGGACUGAAUGGGACAUUGUACUUAACAGUGAGUUCACAAUGCACUCAACAUCUAGUAAAACUUCCUCUACAUAGAGAGCCUUCCUUUUUGAUCUUACAGCCUUCGAUCAGGUUAUAAGAGGCUAUAUAACAAAGGGGAGGUUGUGUAAUAUUGCGCUGCUUCAAGUAAAAUGUAUUUCAUAUUCAUUCUUCUGUACUAUAUCUCCCGUUCAUAGUUAUACUUGAUAGUCACCAUAAAUAAAUUCAG